rnacentral:lncRNA from 1 species
UUCCAAAAUUAAAAUUUAUUUCUUUCUAGGGAAUGAAUGCACGAGUGUGAGACAGAAGUACGCAGCCCAACAAGCCCUGUACCCCCUGUACCCCCAGCUCAGUGCUUCACCUGAUUCGGCAGCCGACACAAGGACAGUCAAUGUGAUCUUCCAGCUGUGCAGUGUGCCAGGAGCCACAGCCUGCACACAUGAAUGGCUGGAUGCACACAAACCAGCCAUGGUCCUAGGUAGUGGGUGCCUACUGUCCCCAGGGCAGUUUGGGCAUCAUCCCACCUAGCUCACAGCAAUCAGGCCAGCGCCCUACCAGCACCAAGGGCAGCCUUGCAGCUCAUAUCUGAGGCAGCCGCACACCACUCUGAGCUGUAGUGGCGUCUAGCAGGGGCUGGCCUGGACCCCUAAACUGACUCACAUACACGGCCCACGCAGGGCACACAGACACAAAUAAAAAGAUGACUUCUUUGACCUCACUGGAUUUAAGGCUUGUAUUUCCUGAUAUUUGCUUCAGUUUGUUUUCUCUUUGACAUCAAAAUUACCUGAGUAAAAAACUUUUUGACAUUAAAAACAAAAACAACAAAAACAGAAAACAAAACCCCACAAAACCAAAGCACAGACUCUCUGCAGGCAGAGAUGCGGCCGGCAAUGCCACAUGCAUGUCCAGGUCAGGCAAAGGCCCUACACACCCAGGGAGGAGGUGCAUGGGCACCCAGCUCCCCAAACCCACAGUGAGAUGCACU